UUCUUUUUUUUUUUUUUUUUUUUUUUGGUCGCAAAAAUUCAGUAAAAAUUAAUGAAUUUUUACUUUAUCUUCUCAGGAAAACAACCUACGAAGACACAAAUAAGUAACCCACCCUUGUCAUUGAAACUAUAUUUAAGAGAAGCCUGCUCUGGUUUCAGUUUUGUAGCAUUUGACCUCCUUGGUAUAGAGAAGAUACAGAAGAUUUUUAUUUGCUUGCAAACUGUAAGAUAACAAGCAGUACGUCUGAAAAUAUAAACCUGAGAUGACUCUUAAAAAUGAUCUUGGGAGAAGAAGAACAGGUACAAGAACAAAAAAAAGGAAAGAGGCAGAGAAAGGAAUGGCAGACAUGCAGGUUGUAUGAAUAAAGAGCUAAGAAAAGACCUGUGGAAAUAAUUGAUUUUUCUGAUUCCCCACUGACAUUUCUUAAAAAUCCCCAAGUAAUUUGAUGUCCUCCUGAGCCUAAUAUUUUUCUUUCUUUCUUUUUUUUUUUUUUUUUCCCUUCCAGUAUUAUCCACAGUUGAAACAACUGGGGUUGUUUUGUUGUUGGGGAAAAUGCUUGGGGUUAAAUAAAAAUGUUUAAUUUUAUCUGAAUUGUUUUUUACUGUCAUUUAAGGUAUUUUCUGCGAUUUUAAAAAAUAGAAUAAGAAGAACUUGAAAACAAAAAAAUCUGAUUCACAGGGACUUAAGCAGCACUGCUAAAAUUGAAGAAAGAGAACAAGUAAUGGUGGUGCCUUUCACAAAAUGGAGCAGGAACAAAGUCUGGGAUGUGGAAAACCCAGGCUCAGAUUUCUCCACUACCAAAACUGCAGUACAGACAUUAACCUAACUCUCCUACCCUCAUGUAAUUUUUUCAGACAAACAUUUGGCUAUGAAGACGAGACUUUUCUCCCCUCUAAUGGCAGCUGGUACCAUGUUGCAAUCACCACUUUCCAGAAGCUGGCCUUUUUUGGCUGACACAUGAAUUCUGCGUGGACUUAGAGGGAAAUAGGUAUUUCCUUCCCCUCUCCCACCAAAGAAAGCAAAUGGAUUUCUCUAUUGACUGGUAUACGGCUGGCAGAAGUAAAGGCAAAUUUCCUCAUGGUCAUGCCUCUGCCCAACCAUGAUCUGGAAGAACACUGCGAGAGUUAAAGAAGGACUGUCCUGUUCACCUAGGACAUGCGGAUCAUUGGAAAAAACAAAGACGAGCAUCUCUGAUCAUUCCACAGACAUAAACAAGCACAAAGCUGCCAAAGCCAAACAGCAUCAUUUUAUUCUAAUAAAACUGCUCAAUGAA
rnacentral:lncRNA from 1 species